ACUACAGCCGUACACCUCAGCUCCAUCCACCUCACAGGAUAAGCAGAGGCAUGCCAAGACACUUCAGCUAUCCCUAGACCCAUAGACUAAAUACACUGAGUAACUCUGGUUACUUUUUACACUCUAGUAGCUAGCCAUCGGAACAGAAGAUUCUCUUUAGAUUCUCCAUUCAAGCAGAGGGACAACCUGAAGCCUGAGGUUCCUAAAGCCAUACUUGGCUCUUCUCCACAUUAUUGACGUCUGCCCCAGCCUAGGACUCAGUGAUCGACAUCUGUAUGAUGACCAUGAGGGUGUGUGCGGUGCUCUAUGCCCUCAUGUUACUGCUGUCACGGACUCUAUCCAAGACACACGUUGGGUAUCCACAGAGCUCCAUGGAGAUAAAUCCAGACAUUAAUGCCUCGUGGUACACAGGACGAGGGAUCCGACCAGUAGGACGUUUUGGGCGGCGGACGAACGGGAGAAUCCAAAGGCUGGCCCUCGCCACACAUAGUCUGUGUUCCCAACAUGGAAAACAAAGACUGGCGAACGGAUUAAAUACAUCAUGAAACUGUUUUGCCUCUUUAUUUCUCCUUGUUGUUUGUAUAUUAAGAAGUGAUGUGAUUGAAUAAAAACAUUUAGAAACUAG